UUCAAGUCUUUAAGAGCAAACGGUGGAUGCCUUGGCAUCUGGAGCCGAAGAAGGACGUAGCAAUCUGCGAUAAGCCUUGGGGAGCCGAUAAGCGGGCUGUGAUCCGAGGGUCUCCGAAUGGGGAAACCCCGCCAGGCGGCGUGCUGACCUGGUGACUCCCGCCUGAAUAUAUAGGGCGGGUAGAGGGAACGUGGGGAAGUGAAACAUCUCAGUACCCACAGGAAGAGAAAACAAUAGUGAUUCCGUGAGUAGUGGCGAGCGAAAGCGGAAGAGGCUAAACCGAGUCGUGUGUGAUAGCCGGCAGGCGUUGCACGUUCGGGGUUGUGGGACCACUAGGGGACGCUGCCGUGUUCCGCGUGGUACAGGUGCGUAUAGACGAACGGUUUUGAAUGGCCGGCCAGAGCGGGUGGUAGCCCCGUAGUCGACAUGCGUGUUCCUGCCGCGAGUGGUAUCCCGAGUAGCACGGGGCCCGUGAAAUCCCGUGUGAAUCUGCCAGGACCACCUGGUAAGCCUAAAUACUCCCAGAUGACCGAUAGCGGACAAGUACCGUGAGGGAAAGGUGAAAAGUACCCCGGGAGGGGAGUGAAAUAGUACCUGAAACCGUUUGCUUACAAACCGUCGGAGCCUCCUUGUUGGGGUGACGGCGUGCCUUUUGAAGAAUGAGCCUGCGAGUUAGCGAUACGUGGCGAGGUUAACCCGUGUGGGGUAGCCGUAGCGAAAGCGAGUCUGAAUAGGGCGACCUUCAGUCGCGUGUCCUAGACCCGAAGCGAAGUGAUCUAUCCAUGGCCAGGCUGAAGCGACGGUAAGACGUCGUGGAGGGCCGAACCCACUUAGGUUGAAAACUGAGGGGAUGAGCUGUGGAUAGGGGUGAAAGGCCAAUCAAACUUCGUGAUAGCUGGUUCUCUCCGAAAUGCAUUUAGGUGCAGCGUUGCGUGUUUCUUGCCGGAGGUAGAGCUACUGGAUGGCCGAUGGGCCCUACAAGGUUACUGACGUCAGCCAAACUCCGAAUGCCGGUAAGUGAGAGCGCAGCAGUGAGACGGUGGGGGAUAAGCUUCAUCGUCGAGAGGGAAACAACCCAGACCACCAUCUAAGGUCCCUAAGCGCGUGCUAAGUGGGAAAGGAUGUGGAGUUGCUUAGACAACCAGGAGGUUGGCUUAGAAGCAGCCACCCUUGAAAGAGUGCGUAAUAGCUCACUGGUCAAGUGAUUCCGCGCCGACAAUGUAACGGGGCUCAAGCACGCCACCGAAGCUGUGGCAUUGACAUUAAUGGUAGGCCUUCGUGGUCCAGCCGUGUUGAUGGGUAGGAGAGCGUCGUGUGCGGGGUGAAGCGGCGGAGUGAUCCAGCCGUGGACGGCACACGAGUGAGAAUGCAGGCAUGAGUAGCGAAAGACGUGUGAGAAACACGUCCUCCGGAAGACCAAGGGUUCCAGGGUCAAGCUAAUCUUCCCUGGGUAAGUCGGGACCUAAGGCGAGGCCGACAGGCGUAGUCGAUGGACAACGGGUUGAUAUUCCCGUACCGGCGAAGAACCGCCCCAAUCAAUCCAGUGGUGCUAAACGCCCAAAGCCGGACAUCGUCACCUUCGGGUGGCACCGUCCGGGGGAGCGCGUGACCCCAUGCUGGUGCGGUUAGCGUAUUAACAGGUGUGACGCAGGAAGGUAGCCCAAGCCAGGCGAUGGUUGUCCUGGUCCAAGCAUGUAGGCCGAGUCAUAGGCAAAUCCGUGACUCAUUAAGGCUGAGAUGUGAUGGGGAUGAAAAGUGGGUGAUCCUAUGCUGCCAAGAAAAGCAUCGACGCGAGGUUCUAGCCGCCCGUACCCCAAACCGACUCAGGUGGUCAGGUAGAGAAUACCAAGGAGAUCGAGAUAAUCGUGGUUAAGGAACUCGGCAAAAUGCCCCCGUAACUUCGGGAGAAGGGGGGCCAUCCACUUAUACGGACUUGCUCCGGAAAGGGUGUGGUGGCCGCAGAGACCAGUGGGUAGCGACUGUUUACUAAAAACACAGGUCCGUGCGAAGUCGCAAGACGAUGUAUACGGACUGACGCCUGCCCGGUGCUGGAAGGUUAAGAGGACCGGUUAGCCGCAAGGCGAAGCUGAGAAUUUAAGCCCCAGUAAACGGCGGUGGUAACUAUAACCAUCCUAAGGUAGCGAAAUUCCUUGUCGGGUAAGUUCCGACCUGCACGAAUGGCGUAACGACUUCCCAACUGUCUCAACCACGAACUCGGCGAAAUUGCAUUACGAGUAAAGAUGCUCGUUACGCGCAGCAGGACGGAAAGACCCCGUGACCUUUACUACAGCUUGGUAUUGGUGUUCGGUGUGGCUUGUGUAGGAUAGGUGGGAGACGUUGAAGCGGUGACGCCAGUUACCGUGGAGUCGUUGUUGAAAUACCACUCUGGUCACUCUGGAUAUCUAACUUCGAACCGUGAUCCGGUUCAGGGACAGUGCCUGGUGGGUAGUUUAACUGGGGCGGUUGCCUCCUAAAGAGUAACGGAGGCGCCCAAAGGUUCCCUCAACCUGGUUGGCAAUCAGGUGGCGAGUGUAAGUGCACAAGGGAGCUUGACUGUGAGACUGACAGGUCGAGCAGGGACGAAAGUCGGGACUAGUGAUCCGGCAGUGGCUUGUGGAAGCGCUGUCGCUCAACGGAUAAAAGGUACCUCGGGGAUAACAGGCUGAUCUUGCCCAAGAGUCCAUAUCGACGGCAUGGUUUGGCACCUCGAUGUCGGCUCGUCGCAUCCUGGGGCUGGAGUAGGUCCCAAGGGUUGGGCUGUUCGCCCAUUAAAGCGGUACGCGAGCUGGGUUUAGAACGUCGUGAGACAGUUCGGUCCCUAUCCGCUGCGCGCGUAGGAAGUUUGAGAGGAUCUGACCCUAGUACGAGAGGACCGGGUUGGACGAACCUCUGGUGUGCCAGUUGUCCUGCCAAGGGCACCGCUGGUUGGCUACGUUCGGGAUGGAUAACCGCUGAAAGCAUCUAAGCGGGAAGCCGGCCUCAAGAUGAGACUUCCAUACCCUUCGGGGUGAGAGGCUCCCAGCAGACUACUGGGUUGAUAGGCCAGACGUGGAAGCCCAGCAAUGGGUGCAGCUGACUGGUACUAAUAAGCCGAUGACUUGAUAACACACUCCUUCU
rnacentral:rRNA from 1 species